GCCCUUCGAGGGCUCUCUGGUGAUUCAUAAUAACUUCUCGAAUCGCAUGGCCUUGCGCCGGCGAUGGUUCAUUCAAAUUUCUGCCCUAUCAACUUUCGAUGGUAGGAUAGUGGCCUACCAUGGUGGCAACGGGUAACGGGGAAUUAGGGUUCGAUUCCGGAGAGGGAGCCUGAGAAACGGCUACCACAUCCAAGGAAGGCAGCAGGCGCGCAAAUUACCCAAUCCCGAUACGGGGAGGUAGUGACAAUAAAUACUGAUACAGGGCUCUUUUGGGUCUUGUAAUUGGAAUGAGUACAAUCUAAAUCCCUUAACGAGGAACAAUUGGAGGGCAAGUCUGGUGCCAGCAGCCGCGGUAAUUCCAGCUCCAAUAGCGUAUAUUAAAGUUGUUGCAGUUAAAAAGCUCGUAGUUGAACCUUGGGCCUGGCUGGCCGGUCCGCCUCACGGCGUGCACUGGUCCGGCUGGGUCUUUCCUUCUGGGGAGCCCCAUGGCCUUCACUGGCUGUGGGGGGAACCAGGACUUUUACUGUGAAAAAAUUAGAGUGUUCAAAGCAGGCCUUUGCUCGGAUACAUUAGCAUGGAAUAAUAGAAUAGGACGUGUGGUUCUAUUUUGUUGGUUUCUAGGACCGCCGUAAUGAUUAAUAGGGAUGGUCGGGGGCGUCAGUAUUCGGCUGUCAGAGGUGAAAUUCUUGGAUUUGCCGAAGACUAACUACUGCGAAAGCAUUCGCCAAGGAU
rnacentral:rRNA from 1 species